rnacentral:rRNA from 1 species
AGAAUCAACGCUGGCGGCGUGCCUAACACAUGCAAGUCGAACGAGAAAGUGGAGCAAUCCACAAGUAAAGUGGCGCACGGGUGAGUAACACGUGACUAACCUACCCUUGAGUGGGGGAUAACCUGGAGAAAUCUGGGCUAAUACCGCAUAAUACCUUCGGGUCAAAGGAGCAAUUCGCUUAAGGAGGGGGUCGCGGCCGAUUAGUUAGUUGGCGGGGUAAUGGCCCACCAAGACUGUGAUCGGUA